AUUGAACGCUGGCGGCAUGCCUUACACAUGCAAGUCGAACGGUAACAGGUUAAGCUGACGAGUUGCGAACGGGGGAGUCAUGUAUCGGAACGUGCCCAGUCAUGCGGGAUAACUUCUCGAAAGAGCAGCUAAUACCGCAUACUACCUGAGGGUGAAAGCGGGGGCUCGCAAGACCUCGCGCGAUUGGAGCGGCCGAUAUCAGAUUAGGUAGUUGGUGAGGUAAAGGCUCACCAAGCCGACGAUCUGUAGCUGGUCUGAGAGGACGACCAGCCACACUGGGACUGAGACACGGCCCAGACUCCUACGGGAGGCAGCAGUGGGGAAUUUUGGACAAUGGGCGCAAGCCUGAUCCAGACAUGCCGCGUGCGGGAAGAAGGCCUUCGGGUUGUAAACCGCUUUUGUCAGGGAAGAAAAGGUUCUGGCUAAUACCUGGGACUCAUGACGGUACCUGAAGAAUAAGCACCGGCUAACUACGUG
rnacentral:rRNA from 1 species